AACUGCCGAGCCGAGAAGUUCGUGACGAAUCGAAUUUACUGUAAAUUCGCUCAUCUCUAGUUAAUUUGAGAACAAUCACUGUAUUGCUUUACUCCCCUGCAGGUUGGGUUUAUAAUCUUUUGCCUUUAAACAUAUACAGAUUUAUUUUCUUUUUUAUGAGGUUUCGUUUUGUGCCUUUUUACUUUGAUUUGGCCCUUUCUUUGGGUUUGUUAUUCAGACAGUGAGAAUCGGCCUUGUUUUAAUCUGUAUUCUAGCACUUUUUGGUUGUGCCUUUUUUAUUUUAUUUUUGAGCCUUUUGCUGGCUUAUGUAGACCAUAGAUUUACCUGUUUUAAGGGGCUUUUUAAAAAAGAAAGUGACAUUUUACCAGCUACUCUGUAGUAUUGAGCCUGUUCACACAAGAGCAAAUAGAAGUGAACUGAAUCACUAUAGAACAGUGGUCCGCAGGUUGAAAGACACUGCUAUUGAAGGUAAAAAAUUUUUUUUAAAAAGUGUUUGAUAUUGUGGGUUUGGUUGCAUUAGUGUGCGCUCCUAGAGCUGGUUCUAUGGCAUAUGUACAGUAUUGCAUAUAGGGGGUUAUAUAUGCACUUUUUAAUUUUUUGUUUAUUUUUCCCCAAUUCAAUGUCAAAAAUAUUGUACAAUUUUAUACAAUGCACUUCUGAUUGCUGUACUGAAAUACUGCAACAGCAAGAAACGCCAUUAAGACACUGUUCACACUAACAGUUUAAAGUGACUGCCCCCUAUUGAGUCCAGUUUUGUUUUUAACUAUAUAGGUUCUAAACUAAGGGAACAUGUCAUCUCUUUCAUACAGGGAAAAACUUUUUUUUUAUAUAUCAACUGAUUCCAGAAAGUUAAACAGAUUUGUAAAUUACUUCUAUUAAAAAAAUCUUAAUCCUUUCAGUACUUAUGUUCUUUUCUGUCUAUGUGCUCUCUGAUGACACGUGUCUCGGGAAACGCCCAGUUUAGAAGCAAAUCCCCAUAGCAAACGUCUUCUAAACUGGGCGGUUCCCGAGACACGUGUCAUCAGAGAUUACUUAGAAAGAAAAGAACAACCUAAACUUCAGAAGCUCAUAAGUACUGAAAGGAUUAAGAUUUUUUAAUAGAAGUAAUUUACAAAUCUGUUUAACUUUCUGGAGCCAGUUGAUAUAUAUAAAAAAAUUUUUUUUCCUGGAUAACCCCUUUAAAACACAAGUCACUGGAUGGUCCCUGGAGGCUUUACCCCCCCGAAACCUUGAUUGAUAGAUCUCCUCUUGUUUGGGUACAAAGUUAUCAAGACUAGUGGGGUGCGGGGAAGCUACAGGUGACCAACCUAUGGGAGCAAUGACAGGUUCCCUUCAAAUCAUAGGGUAGGUGAUAAUUGUGUGAUGGCUACUUAUCACUGCAAGAACAGGGCAGUCUGUCUGAGCCCUAUAGGAAUAAAAAAAAAAAAUACAUAUGUAUUAUUAUUUUUUUUAAUCAACUGGUGCCAGAAAGUGAAACCAAUUUGUAAAUUACUUUUUAUUUAAAAAUCUUAAUCCUUCCAGUACUUAUCACCUGCUGUAUACUACAGAGGAAGUUCUUUUCUUUUUUAAUCUCUUUUCUGUCUGACCACAGUGCUCUCUGCUGACACCUCUGUCCAUGUCAAGAACUGUUCAGAGCAGGAAUAAUUCCCCAAAGCAAACCUAUCCUGCUCUGGACGGUUCCUGACAUGGACAGACGUGUCAGCAGAGAGCACUGUGGUCAGACUGAAUUUUAUUUUUUCAAAAGAAAAGAACUUCCGCUGUAGUAUACAGCAACUGAUAAGUACUGGAAGGAUUAAGAUUUUUAAAUAGAAAUCAUUUACAUGUCUGCUGUUAACUUUCUGGCACCAGUUGAUUAAAAAUUUUUUUUUCCACCAGAGUACCCCUUUUAAGGACCCAAUAAGGGGCUGGUGUGAACUGGGCCUAACCAGUCUGUUGCACAGCUAGUCCAUGUAACCUAGACUGCUAUCAGACAUGUUGGUGAAGAUUUGAUGCUGAUUGUCGUUUCUAUUAUCACUUUUAGGGUACGUUCACACGAGCGGAUGUACAGCAUAUUUUACGCUACGGAUCCGCUGGUGAAGGCCCCGCUCUAUGCUGUCUUUACAUGUACCUGCUGGUAGCGGCAAUACACCGCGACGAGCGGACACACUGCAGAGAUGUGCGCGGCGUACUCGCACAUCGCGGCCACUCUCCCUGCUCUGAGGUAGGCAGAGAGCUCCCGCGAUGUGCGAGUAUACGGCGACUCGCAGUGUGUCUAGUGUCAGUGUGCUAUGAGCAGGCACAUGUAAAGACAGCAUAGAGCGGGGCCUUCACCAGCGGAUCCGUAGCGAAAUAUGCUGCGAAAAACCGCUCGUGUGAACGAACUCUUGAAUAGAAUUGUAUCACAGAUCCGUGUGUGAUUUCAGGGCCGCUCACAUCUGCAUCCUGUCACAUCCACCUUUAUUUGUAGAUGACGAAUUAUUGCAACUUAAAAAUAAUUAUCAUUAAAUUUGGAUUCUGAGAUCA